GAUGAACGCUAGCUACAGGCUUAACACAUGCAAGUCGAGGGGCAGCGGGAUUGAUUCUUGCUUUAAUUGCCGGCGACCGGCGCACGGUUGAGUAACGCGUACCCACCUUUCCGUACACUCAGGCUUAGCCUUUCGGAAGCAAGAUCAAUACCUGAUGGUAUGAUGAGAUUGCAUGUUAUCAUCAUUAAUGAUUUAUCGGUGUACGAUGGGGAUGCGUUCCAUUAGGUAGUAGGCUGGGUAACGGCCCACCUAGCCAACGAUGGAGAGGGGUUCUGAGAGGAAGGUCCCCCACAGUGGAACUGAGACACGGUCCAAACAGCUACGGGAGGCAGGAGUGAGGAAUAUUGGUCAAUGGACGAGAGUGUGAAACAGCCAAGUAGGGUGAAGGAUGAAGGUGCUACGGAUUGUAAACUUCUUGUAAAAGAGAAUAAACCCUGCCACGUGUGGGAGCUUGAAGGUACCUUAUGAAUAAGCAUCGGCUAACUCCGUG
rnacentral:rRNA from 1 species